UACGGAGGAUUCAAGCGUUAUCCGGAUUUAUUGGGUUUAAAGGGUGCGUAGGCGGCGAGUUAAGUCAGCGGUAAAAGCCCGGGGCUCAACCCCGGCCCGCCGUUGAAACUGGCUGGCUUGAGUUGGGGAAAGGCAGGCGGAAUGCGUGGUGUAGCGGUGAAAUGCAUAGAUAUCACGCAGAACUCCGAUUGCGAAGGCAGCAUACCGGCGCUCAACUGACGCUCAUGCACGAAAGUGUGGGUAUCGAACAGG
rnacentral:rRNA from 1 species